GAUCACUUCCUGAUGCCUCAAGAUAGCAACACCCCAAGAAUUCACCUGCACACACCUCAUGUAAGACCAGCACGCCCAUGGUUUAUUAUGCUGUAAUCUU